GGAAAAGCUCCAGGUUUGCUGUGGCCAAGCCAGUGCCUGUGGCUCAGAAGGUCUCAGCCCUCUGCCCCUCCCUGCAGUGGUCACAUCUGCCUUGGUAACACAUUGGAGAUUUCCAUGGCCUUAACUGUGGUCCAGAUGUAUUAACGAAAGUAACUGGCAUGCUGUGUCUUAAAUAAUCACCAAGCCCUGCCAGGAAUGAACGCUUCGUGCUACUCUGACCUUGAGACCAAUCAUGGUCUUUGUGGGUUUUGCCUUGAAAAAACUCUGUGUCCCUGAACGUGGUCUCCAAGAGGCUUUUCAGAAGCACGAGCCUGCUUUUGGUCUGGCCAUCAAUCAGAAGGACUUAAGACGUUUAAGUGACUUUAUCAGCGUGGUUGUCAAUAACUGUCUCUCAUGGAUCGUUGCAGAGGUGUCAGAACCUGAAACCACAGGUCACAACGGAUCAGCAGUCAGAAGAGCAAGGGAUUUGGCUUAGGACUUAGCUUGCUUUCUUCAUUCUAUACAGGCCAUGACGGCCGACCUAGGGAGCGGUUCCUCUUCUGGUUGAAUCUGCUUGAAUCUUCUCCUAUCUAGGAAUACAAUUAAGAGGAUCUUCAAGACACACCCAGAGGUCGGUUUCUCAGGUGACCCUAGACUCUGUCAACAAUUAACACUACCACAGGCUGAGAAGGAAGCCAGGCCACUGGAGCCAUAUACCAAGAGGAAUGCUGGGGCCCUAGCUUCUGCCAACUCCCUCUUUAUCAUGUGGCAAGAUGGCAGAAACCCCAAGAGUGUUGAGAAGCCAGCAAUUGCAUCUAAGCUCCCUGGACUUUUGUUCCGUGAGUGAAGGAAUGGAAUGAAGUGAAAAAGAAGCACACAUGACCUGGUGGCUAGCACAUUAAGAGUUCAGAAGAGGGCGCCAGAUCCACUCUGAGAAGAGGAGUUUCUGGUGGUUUUGAGUGCCUUGUGGGUGCUGGGAAUGGAAUCCUGCUCCUCUGGAAGGGGCCAGUGCCCUUCUCAGCUGCCAGAAUUUUGUAUCCGUGUUGAUGGUUCGGGAGCAUUCAGUAGAGUCUGGCACCUUCCUUCUCAUCUUUUGGACUAAUUUGAGAAGCCGUUGUUUGGGGUGGAAGCCUCACCCCAGCCCCUGGCACCCAUCCUUGGAGCGCCAAUGAAGCAGGAAUGGAGCAGGACGGUCCAUUUCAAGCCCCUUCCCCUGGGAGUCGUGCAGUCGGGACUCCACGUCCGGGAAAGCCUGCCAAGCAUUGAUCCCUCCCCAGGGACGGCCAGGACCACUCCCACAGACUGUUUCGGCUGCCACCCAGAAAAGGAACACGUGGUCUCCGUGUUUUGCGUGGUUUCCCCAUCUCUUUCCCUUGCCAUGCUUUCUCGGGCCACCCGGGAGCGCUGCAUUAAACGUGGGUGGGCAUCUUUUAUUCGAUCCAAUUUGGUCUGAUUGGAAUUAUUUGUGAUGAUAGAGAGGCUCCUCUUAAGAAAUUCAUAGCAGUCGUCAUGUUGGUUCUUUACUGUCUGGUAGAAAUCAGGAGUGAAUCUUAGUGAAUCUUUAGUUGGGAGAUUUAUUAUUAUUAUUAUUAUUACUUCUUCAAUCUCACUGAGUGUUAUAGAUCUGUCUAAAUUAUGUAUCUUAGUUUAAAUUUGGUAAGUCAAAUGUUUCUGAAAAAUUUUUCCACGUAGUUCAAGCUAGCCUCAAACUUGAAACAUAGAUGAGAAUGGCCUUGAACCCCUGACCCUCCUGCCCUCCCCUCCCAAGUGCUGGGUUUACGGACGUCUGCAGUUUGCCUGGGUUUGUGCAGUGAUGAGAACUAAACACAGUGUUCUUUGCAUACUAGGCAGACACUGUAUGUACUCAGCUAUGUCCCUCAACCUAGGGAUUUUCACAAAAGCAAAUUAAAUCAAUAGUUUGCCUUUGAAAAGAAAUAAAAUAAAACAAGGCAUGAAGUGUGUGUUACCCACGGUACCAUAAGGACAUCUUUGCUUUUGUUUUCACAAGUCAGAAAUCAGAGAAGCGACCAUGAGAGGACUGUGAGAACAGAGUAAAACCGGAAAGCAGUCGGGGAUGCAGCUGGCACAGGACAGGACUGGCAGGAAAGGCAGAAGAAAUGCCUGGAACAUUUGCUGCGGUAGACCAGGAGACUCUUCCUCUGUCUGUCUAGCCCCAGGCAAGAGCCCCACGGGAGACUCGGAGACUUUACAGAGAAGUUCCUUCAGACGGGAACAGCUGGGAAGCCAUCCACCAAGCCAGGAUCACAGGGAGGAGGCUGUGAGAGGAACAACUCAUCCUGGCAUUAUUAUUAUUUGUUUGUUUGUUUGUUUAUUUAUUUGUUUAUUUAUUUAUUUUGGUUUUUCGAGACAGGGUUUCUCAAUAGCUAUAAAGCCAGCUCGACUUGCUCUGUAGACCAGGCUGGCACUGAACUCACAGAGAUCCGCCCGCCUCUGCCUCUGGAGUGCUGGGUUUAAAGGUGUGCGCCACCACUGCCCGGCUAAUUUUUUUUUUUAAGACAAUAUCUCAUAGACCUCUCCUAGGCUGGCCUCUAACUUGCUGUGUAGCCAAGAAUCCUCCUACCUCUAACUCGUGAGUACUGAUGUUGCAGACUCUGUUCCACCAUGCCCGGCGUCUGGUGCUUGGGAUGGAGCCCAGGGUUGCAUGAAUGCCAGGCAAGCACUCUGUCAGUUGAGGGCACACCCUUGAGUGCCCUCCCAUCCUCUCUCUUCUAGGUGUCCUGGGCUCACGCGGGGCACAGACACCAUCAGGACUCUCUUGCAAGGAAGGAAGAGAAGAAGGAAUGAUGGGCAGGCCACGGUGCUCUGAGCCAAUGCCCAGCACUCGGCCGCUGUAGGCAAGGUUGAGAAUCAGUCCACUGUAGCCAUUGCUGCACACAGGAAGGAGCGCGUGUGCAGAGCUGAUGUGUACAAGACGGCUUGCAGUGUGUGUUACAUGUGUGUGCACACAUUUUGUAAGACUUGGGAAAUUAUGGAAUUUUAAUUGAUACAUAGAAAUUGAGUAAUGGAGAGUCUGACUUUCUGCAGAUCUCUGACGGGCUGGAGUUUGGGGGUCAGCCUUCCUGAUUUGCUGCAAAGGCCGCCCUCCCCCAUUCCCAACCCCAGAGGCUUGUCAAGCUCAGAUUGGAGAAAUCCCCAUUCUUCUUGGCCACACCUCCACGACCUAUGACCUAGAUACUGUGCUCUUCCCCCAGAUGAAUUCUGCACAUUUUUAAAAGCUGGUGUCUUCAUCUUUUGAGGCAUUUCCUGGAUACUUACGCAGUCUUUUCUACUUGCUCGUAAGCCUGUAGAGGAAAGGGGCGGGGGAGGGAGCCUUCACUGUAUCGUCUCCUGACUUAGCUGACAGGAGAAGCAGACAACUAAUUGUGACUUCCUGUUUCAGCUAGCUGGAGCUUUUAACCAACAUAUUAACAGCUAAUGGUAUUUUCGAAGUUUACAAAACAUGUAAGCGAUACAUUCUAACCAGAAUUUCCCGUUGCCACUCUUUUUUUUUUUUUUUUUAAGAAUUUUUAUUUUCAGGGGUGGGAGUUAUGCUGAAGACUAAAGCCAGGGCCUUAUACACACAAAGCAAGGGCUCACCACUAAGCUGCACAGACGGCCUCCUAUUGCCACUAUUGUCAUGUGUCUUCAUUUAUUUAUGAGACAGGAUCUGAUGUAGACCUAACUGAGCUAGAACUCGUUACACAACCAAGGCUGACCUUGAACUUUCAAACCCCCUGCUUCCAGGUUCCAGUGUUGGGAUUAGCUGCACACGUCGUCGAGCCUGGUUUAGGUGGUGUUGCUAUCCAACUCCGGGUGUCUGGAAUGUGAGAGAGAUGACUCAGUCUGAAGUGGGCGUUUGAAACCCCAAAGCCAGCCAGGCAGUGGUGCCAGGUGCCUUUAAUCCCAGCACUCCAGAGGCAGAGGCAGGUGGAUCUCUGUGAGUUUGAGGUCAGCCUGAUCUACAAGAGCUGGUUACAGGACGGGCUCCAAAGCUACAGAGAAACCCUGUGUCGAAAAACCAAAAACCAAACAAACAAAAAACUAACGUCCAUCUCAAAGACACACCUCCUCCAACAAGGCCACAUCUCUAAUCCUUCCUUGUCAGGGACCAUUGUCCUAAGGAUGUUUGCAGAGAGCCCCACAUCCUCACUAUCUUGAGAACUGUUUGUUAACGGAAUCACAAAAAGAAUGUUUCUGCAUACACUAAGUGUGCUGACUGGUGACCUUUGCUACCCCAGCAAAGUUCCUUCUUACCCCUACCCCCCACCCCAAGCCAAGUUCCUCGUUCAAGGGCUAUAUAUAAGCCGCAACCAUUACCCCAAUAAACGGAGACCUUGACAACUGAAUCUUGCUUGGUCUCCUU